AACCUGUUAAUGUCAGUCCAAGAGAGAUUCAAAUAGCGUAGAUGAAUCAAUUCACCUAUUGAAUCAGGUAAUACAUCAAGUUUAUGAAAGGAUAAAACUCUCAAGUAUUUAAACUUUGAUUCUCUGUUUUCCAUGCUGAACAAAUCAUCGAUGUACAACGAUGUCCUCAAAGAUUUCAAUUUCACAAUGGAAUUAAAGUCUUUUGAGAUUAGAUGACCUAAGC